UCUUUUUCAUUGGUCUUUUCCUGCAUCAGUGGAUUCAGAACUACAAAACAAAUAAGUAGCAAGUGUUAAUUUGGUGCUUAAACUAAGCCACUGUAAUUUCACACUUGAUGUAUUAUUUUUUAAAAUCUGCACAAAAAGUCUGUGUACUUGAAGUGCUUUACAUUCUGUGGCAUUUCAGCUCCAUCUACUGGUAUGCCACACAUCUUUGAACAAUUAAUUGAAACAUAGUUGGAUAUUGAAAAAAUGCUUCUUUUUUUGGUACUGAGCUUUUAACAGAUUAAUCUCUACUCUUGCUUUGUAGUCAACUCAAACUGUUUCAAAUAGUAAUAAGGUUUUACUGACAAAAAAAAAUCAGAUGCAUCACUAAUCAUAGAAUAAUUUUACAAGUAUACAAAACAGUAGGUUCUGGCCAGAUUUGGUAAGAUCUUAUUCGCAUGGAAACAAGGUAAAUCAAAAGGUAAAAGACAGCUAUAGGCUACAGGUGAAAGCUAUUUACAAAGAACAAAAGGCAUUUAAUAUGUUAAACAAGAUUUUUAGAAAACAAAAGACAUUUCAUAAUGUUUUUUUCUAUAUAUAACUAUAUGUAUUUAUGUAUGAAUUCAAAUUUUACUCAAUUGAAAAAAGUUAUUAGAAGGCAUCAGUGUAAUAGACUAAGAUGACUAGAACUAUUU